AGUAAGACAAAGGAUGAUGAAUAAUGAAGGGACGGGGGAUUACAAGGGCAAGAUGGAAAUUCAGGUGAUCGUGAAGUCAAUGGUGGUGAAUGAAAGAACAAGGAUACGCUUUAAACUGGGAUUCAUCAUAGGGUCACAAAAUUAAAUGGCUAUAUGAGUUAGCCAGGCAAUGAAAAUCAGUGAAAUGGUCCAGAUGGAAGACGACAAUGAGCAAUGUGGCCUGGAAAUCAGAUGGCCAGAAGAGAGGUGGCAGCUCCACCUUGAACCCCUGUGAGUACUGAUGUAUGCAAUGUGCAUCCAAACUUUUCCUGAUUUUUAAGAGAAGUCAGAAUUUUGAAUGCCGAUAUAAAGUCUGUUUGCAUAUAAAUCCAGGAAACCAAGGCAAUCGAAUUUUUGAAGAAUACAGCAGGAAGGGUCAUAAUCAUCUGCAGUUUUCAUCUGGAUCACCAGCUGUCAUUCUGCGUAUCCUACUUACCUCAAGGGGCAACUUCAGUCUUGAAAACAGAACAUCAUAAGAUGUUGGUGCCACUUGAUCCAACUGGAAAAUACCAGCAUUUACAUUUUUAUUUUACAGAUGCAGAAAGCAAUAUUUAACUGACUGGCUGUCACUCACAUCAUGAAUCAGAAGCAGCCUUAAAAGAAUGGAUCCCUUCUUGCUAUUUAAAAAUAUAAUCUUGGAUCUAAUGAUUGAAAUUACAUGUUUGGAUCAUUGAGGAAUAAUGAAAUACUUUGGACUUGAGCUAUGUGGGUAAAUGAUUGAAUGACGCAAAGGAACUUUGGUUGUGGAGUCUGUGUACAGAGACAGCGCAGGGAAUGUCCAGUAAUACUAUUGUUACCUUAGAUUCUACAUUAUGCAUUGAAAUAAUCAUGGUUCCAUGGUUGUAUUUAGUAAGUCACUUUAGAAAGCAACAGUUUUGAAAUAAGAAGCUCUGGAAAUGCCAGGCUAGAGCUUUGUUGUGGCCACUAGGUACAGGGGACAGGAAGGAAGGAAAAGUGAACAGAAAGAGUGGAGGAAACACCACAUGUGGCACAGUUCCGGAAGUCCCUAUGCUUGCCCUUGGGUAGAGGUGGCAUCUACCACUACUAACCCUUUUUUGGCUCUUCUGUUUCCUCUGAUUUUUAUAAAAUCAGCCUGAUAUAUUACUUCAUAACAGAGUUAUGAAAAAAGAUCUUUGGAAUCUCAACCUUUGAAGCUCUACCCUCCCUUUACUCUAAAGACUUGUGCGUUCCAUAGCAUCAAGAUGACUGAAGCAGCUCCAUGCAUACAAUCCUCAUGCAAUAGUUUUCAAAAACCAGAAUAGAGAAGGAGAGUCAUGGGUCAUCACUUCCUUAAGACAAAAAUGUGAAUCUCUGCUGUAUUAUGGUGCUUUAAAAUGGAAAUAAGAAGCCACUUUUCAGAAAAUCUUACCUUCUGUCAAUCCUGGUUGCACACCAGAAUGAAAUCUGGACAAUUAUAACAUCCACUGAAAUCAAGACAGCUUUCAUUCUGUUAUUCAUUUUG